AAUGAACGCUGGCGGCAGGCCUAACACAUGCAAGUCGAACGGGUCCUUCGGGACUAGUGGCGGACGGGUGAGUAACGCGUGGGAACAUACCCAAAGGUACGGAAUAGCCUCGGGAAACUGAGAGUAAUACCGUAUGUGCCCUUCGGGGGAAAGAUUUAUCGCCUUUGGAUUGGCCCGCGUUGGAUUAGGUAGUUGGUGGGGUAAUGGCCUACCAAGCCGACGAUCCAUAGCUGGUUUGAGAGGAUGAUCAGCCACACUGGGACUGAGACACGGCCCAGACUCCUACGGGAGGCAGCAGUGGGGAAUCUUAGACAAUGGGGGAAACCCUGAUCUAGCCAUGCCGCGUGAUCGAUGAAGGCCUUAGGGUUGUAAACCUCUUUCAGCAGGGAAGAAGCGAAAGUGACGGUACCUGCAGAAGAAGCACCGGCUAACUACGUGCCAGCAGCCGCGGUAAGAGUACUCUAU
rnacentral:rRNA from 1 species